rnacentral:rRNA from 1 species
CAGGCCUAACACAUGCAAGUCGAACGAGACCUUCGGGUCUAGUGGCGCACGGGUGCGUAACGCGUGGGAAUCUGCCCUUGGGUUCGGAAUAACAGCGAGAAAUUGCUGCUAAUACCGGAUAAUGACGUAAGUCCAAAGAUUUAUCGCCCAGGGAUGAGCCCGCGUAGGAUUAGCUAGUUGGUGAGGUAAUGGCUCACCAAGGCGACGAUCAGUAGCUGGUCUGAGAGGAUGAUCAGCCACACUGGGACUGAGACACGGCCCAGACUCCUACGGGAGGCAGCAGUGGGGAAUAUUGGACAAUGGGCGAAAGCCUGAUCCAGCCAUGCCGCGUGAGUGAUGAAGGCCUUAGGGUUGUAAAGCUCUUUCGACGGGGACGAUAAUGACGGUAUCCGUAGAAGAAGCCCCGGCUAACUUCGUGCCAGCAGCCGCGGUAAU